GAUAUUUUGUGAUUCUUUUUUAUGUCUGUUGCUCUAAGACACAUAAAUGAACACAUUCUUAAAGAAAAAUAAUAUCUUUAAAGUGCCAGAGGUGCCCAAAAAGGUCCUCCCAGAAGAAAAGAAGCCAACACCUAUUCGGAAAAAAGUGGAGCCUCCCCCACCCAAAGGUACAUUAAUCUCUAACAAACCCAAAACAAAAAGGCUAACUAACUGGCAUUCUACAGCCUCACUAAUUAUAGUGACUUAUGUGGGUAACAGUUGAUGCUUUUUGACUACAGAAUAUUAGCUUUUCAUGUUGUCCCACUGUUUUGAAUAUUGUACAUAAAAGUGAUGCUUGUCCAAUUGACAAAUAUCUUUAAAGUGCCAAAGAAACGUGAGCCAGUUCCAGUUCCAAUUCCUGCAGCUCUCCUCCGGGAAGAGAAAGUUGUACAUAAAGAAGAAAUUGUUGUUGAAGAGGAAUUUAUCCAUGAGGAAGAAGAAGUUAUCCUCGAGGAAGAAGUUCUGCCAGAGGAAGAGGAAAUUUCACCCGAGGAAGAAGUUCCGCUAGAGGAGGAGGAGGAGGAGGUUCUCCCAGAGGAAGAGGAAGUUCCUCCUGAAGAAGAGGAAGUUCCUCCUGAAGAAGAGGAAGUUCCUCCUGAGGAGGAAGAAUUUGUACCUGAGGAAGAAGUGGUACCCGAAAAAGAAGAAGUUCUUCCAGAAAUUAAGCCUAAAGUGCCAGUACCUGCACGAGUGCCUGAAGUGCCAAAGAAACCAGUACCAGAGAAGAAAGUCCCUGUUCCAGCUCCUAAAAAAGUGGAACCUCCACCGCCUAAAGUGCCUGAGGUUAAGAAGAAAGUGCCAGAGAAGAAAGUGAUCAUUCCCAAGAAAGAGGAGGUUCCUCCUGCCAAAGGUACUGCUCUUCCCAAGCAAAUUAGACACUGCCAUUUCUUUCUUCACCUGUAAAUGCCAGAAUGGCCCAUUUCCCAGUAUUGGUUAACAUAACUUACAAUAUUGUGGUGUCCAUUGUCUCUGUGUUCAUGAAACUGAACUUACAAAAUAAUAUCUUUGAAGUGCCCGUGGUGCCUAAGAAACCUGAACCAGAAAAGAAGGCGCCUCCACCCGGUCUUAAGAAAGCAGUGCCUCCUCCUGCCAAAGGUACAUCACUCCCAACAGGGAUGUGUUUGCGCCCCUCCACUGUGGAACUGUGAUGCUCUUCACAUAGGGAUGGAUGUUCCACAUAAGCGUUUGCUCUGUGUGCUCUGUUCUGUAGCCAUCACUUGAAACUCUGCUGCACCCAUAUUUGUUCUAUGUCAGUUCUUCUACUCUGUUUCCGUAUUUUAUGUUGAUCUGUCCAUGUAUGUUGUUUGUAAAAUAAAAAUAAAAAUACUAAACA
rnacentral:lncRNA from 1 species